rnacentral:rRNA from 1 species
UACGGGGGGGGCAAGCGUUGUUCGGAAUUACUGGGCGUAAAGGGCUCGUAGGCGGCCAACUAAGUCAGACGUGAAAUCCCUCGGCUUAACCGGGGAACUGCCUCGGAUACUGGCGGCCUCGAGGGGGGUAGGGGCAUGCGGAACUGUGGGUGGAGCGGUGAAAUGCGUUGAUAUCCACAGGAACUCCGGUGGCGAAGGCGGCAUGCUGGACCUCUACUGACGCUGAGGCGCGAAAGCCAGGGGAGCAAACGGG